rnacentral:rRNA from 1 species
UACAGAGGUCUCAAGCGUUGUUCGGAUUCAUUGGGCGUAAAGGGUGCGUAGGCGGCGCGGUAAGUCGGGUGUGAAAUCUUGGAGCUUAACUCCGAAACUGCAUUCGAUACUGCCGUGCUUGAGGACUGGAGAGGAGACUGGAAUUUACGGUGUAGCGGUGAAAUGCGUAGAUAUCGUAAGGAAGACCAGUGGCGAAGGCGGGUCUCUGGACAGGUUCCUGACGCUGAGGCACGAAGGCCAGGGGAGCAAACGGG